rnacentral:lncRNA from 1 species
GUUACAUCAUGCGAUUAUAGUUCUUCCCUUUUUGAUAGGAAAGAACUCAGAUGUGCAGGAGAGCUUUUAAUCUUUGGUAACCUUUUCUUUUUGGAAGGUUGAAGAUCUUAUGGCUCACUUUGUGCCAACUUCAUAAUUCAAUGGAGAUUGAGUACUUGCCUGUUUACUAUCCAUCAGACGAGGAGAAAGACAACCCUACUCUGUUUGCCAGUAAUGUCAGGAAGCUCAUGGCCAAGUAGGUGUUCACCUUGGCGUUUAGGCUAAAAGGUGCGUUUGAAUCAUGUUAAGUCGUUUGCUUGUGUGUCAUAUGCUCCUCUGACAGGGCGUUGGGUACACCCCUGACAGACUUGUCGUUUGACGACCGGGAGAUCAUCCUGUCCCAGGGUCCGCUGCCCAUCAUUAACUCCAGCAGCCUGCUGCAGUUCAACCAGCUUCUGUGUCGCUUGGGGUAAGUGAAAGGAGACUGGACCAACCUGUUGAACAGGAUGAGGAGCACAAAUGACUUGAAAGUGGAUUAGGUGUGGACGCUGACACCUGUUGGUAGAAGGACGCAAGCAUGUGCGUACAGAUGGAUUCCAGAGACAUUUAAUCAAUUCUCCCUUUUAUUAAUAAUACUUUUAUUAAAUGAUAGAAAAUAGAAAGUUGCAUUUAGCCUAACUAUUAAAAAACUUACUGGAACUUUUAUUUUUUCUUUAUGUAAACAAAACUUAUUAACUGCUUCACCAUUUGAGGACAUUGAGUUUCAUUUUAAUUUCCCUGUUGUUGAAAUUAUGAACUGUAUCCAUAAGAAUGAUCAGACCUUUGAUAAAGGAACUGUGUAAGGGGAUUUCCAUUAAAACUACUAAAUAACUUUUACUGAUAGUCACUGCCGUGGAACCGCCCACUUCGUUGGCCACACCACCCCUCCUUUUGGUGCAUUUUCAAACAAAAGAUUAAGACUCUGGUAGAUUCUUACUUUUGCUCUUUUAAUGGACAGAUUCUGAUGUAAACCUUUAGCUAACUACA